UAUGUAGGCGGACCAGUAAGUAGUUUGUGAAAUCCCUCGGCUUAACCGGGGAAUUGCUUGCUAAACUGCUGGUCUUGAGGCAAAUAGGGGUGCAUGGAACUCUUGGUGGAGCGGUGGAAUGCGUAGAUAUCAAGAGGAACGCCAGCGGCGAAAGCGGUGCACUGGAUUUGUCCUGACGCUCAGAUACGAAAGCGUGGGGAGCAAACGGGAUUAGAUACCCCGGUAGUCCACGCCCUAAACGAUGCCUACUAGGUUGUAGAACCUCUGACGGUUUUACGGCCGAAGCAAAAGUGUUAAGUAGGCCGCCUGGGAAGUACGGUCGCAAGGCUAAA
rnacentral:rRNA from 1 species